rnacentral:rRNA from 1 species
GGUAUGACGGUACCCUUUCGAAUAAGAGGUUGCUAACUCUGUGCCAGCAGCAGCGGUAAUACAGAGACCUCGAGCGUUAUCCGGAUUUACUGGGCGUAAAGCGUCUGUAGGGGGUUUGUUAAGUUCCAAGUAAAAUCUUAAGGCUCAACUUUAAGUUCGCUUGGAAAACUAAUAAACUGGAGUCCAGCAGAGGUGCAUGGAACUUGCGGUGUAGGAGUGAAAUCCGUUGAUAUCGCAAGGAACACCAAAGGCGAAGGCAUUGCACUGGGCUGGUACUGACCCUGAGAGACGAAAGCGUGGGGAGCAAAAACGGAUUAGAUACCCGUGGUAGUCCACGCCGUAAACGAUGGAUACUAGAUGUUCGGGGAUUCGACCCCCUGGGUGUCACAGCUAACGCGUUAAGUAUCCCGCCUGGGAAGUACGGCCGCAAGGCUAAAACUCAAAGGAAUAGACGGGGAUCCGCACAAGCGGUGGAGCGUCUGGUUUAAUUUGAUAGUAAGCAAUGGACCUCACCAAGGUUUGACAUCCUAUGACAACCCUGGAAACAGGGCUUCCUUCGGGCAUAGUGACAGGUGCUGCAUGGUCGUCGUCAGUUCGUGCCGUGAGGUGUUCCGUUAAGUCGGGAAACGAACGAAACCCUCGUCGCAUGUUACAAAUUUCAUGCGAGACUGCCCGGGUCAACCGGGAGGAAGGCGGGGAUGACGUCAGAUCAGCAUGGCCCUUAUACCUUGGGCUACACAGGCGCUACAAUGGCCGGUACAAAGGGUUGCAAAACCGCGAGGUGAAGCUAAUCCCAUAAAGCCGGUCCAAGUUCGGAUUGGAGGCUGCAACUCGCCUCCAUGAAGUUGGAAUCGCUAGUAAUCGUGGAUCAGCCAUACCACGGUGAAUACGUUCCCGGAUCUUGUACUCACCGCCCGUCACACCAAGAGAGUUGUAGCUCCUGAAGC